rnacentral:ncRNA from 15 species
GUCGGGAGGGCGGCAGCCAUACAACACCCGCAAGGGGAAAGCUGCCCGCCGUCUGAGUUCGGUUUCUAACCUCCCGACACCCAUAG